rnacentral:rRNA from 1 species
AACGAACGCUGGCGGCAGGCUUAACACAUGCAAGUCGAGCGCCCCGCAAGGGGAGCGGCAGACGGGGGAGUAACGCGUGGGAAGCUACCCUUUUCUACGGAAUAACGCAGGGAAACUUGUGCUAAUACCGUAUAAGCCCUUCGGGGGAAAGAUUUAUCGGGAAAGGCUGGGCCCGCGUUGGAUUAGCUAGUGGGUGGGGUAAAGGCCUACCAAGGCGACGAUCCAUAGCUGGUCUGAGAGGAUGUUCAGCCACAUUGGGACUGAGACACGGCCGAAACUCCUACGGGAGGAAGCAGUGCGGAAUAUGCGACAAUGGGCGCGAGCCUGAUCCAGCCAUGCCGCGUGGGUGAUGAAGGCCCUAGGGUUGUAAAGCUCUUUCACCGGUGAAGAUAAUGACGGUAACCGGAGAAGAAGCCCCGGCUAACUUCGUGCCAGCAGCCGCCGUAACAC